rnacentral:rRNA from 1 species
GAUGAACGCUGACAGAAUGCUUAACACAUCAGCAAUUGAUUGUUGGCGGUCGCGUGCUUAACGCGUAAAGAACUUGCCUCCCAGCUUGGGACAACAUUUGGAAACGAAUGCUAAUACCUAAUACUGUGAGAGAGCUUUGCGUCCCUUUAGCUAGUUGGAGAGGUAACGGCUCACCAAGGCGAUGAUGGGUAGCCGGCCUGAGAGGGUGAUCGGCCACAAGGGGACUGAGACACGGCCCUUACUCCUACGGGAGGCAGCAGUGGGGAAUAUUGGACAAUGGACCAAAGUCUGAUCCAGCAAUUCUGUGUGCACGAUGAAGUUUUCGGAAUGUAAAGUGCUUUCAGUUGGGAAGCGGUAGCAAAAGAAGAAGUGACGGCUAAAUACGUGCCAGCCGCCGCGGUAAUUC